rnacentral:ncRNA from 1 species
UCAAAUAAGAGUUUGAUCCUGGCUCAGGAUGAACGCUGGCGGCGUGCCUUAUACAUGCAAGUCGAACGCUCCGACGCAAGUCGGAGAGUGGCGAACGGGUGAGUAAUACGUAGGUACUUUGCCUAAGUCUGGCAUAACUAGCCGAAAGGUUAGCUAAUUCCGGAUGUGAUCGUAAGAUCAAAGUCGCAAGACGCUUAGGAAUAGGCCUGCGUCCUAUCAGCUUGUUGGCGGGGUAAAAGCCCA